rnacentral:lncRNA from 1 species
GUUGUCUGAGAGUAUCUCACAUAUAAAACUCCUUCUCCUACUUCUCAUCUUUGGAAGAGUCCAAAUCAAGAAGAAGGAGGCAUCUGAUCGACCAUCAAAGAAGGAUCAGCACAGUACUAGCAUACUGUGCUGAUUUCUUGGAUCAGAACUUCUGAUCAUGAUUUGUGGGCUCGUGUGGAUGACUUCUAGAGGUCGGAUGCAUAUGCAGCUUGCAACAUCAUCCUCAAGCCU